GUCUCUGUGGUGUAGUGGUUAUCGCAUUCGUUUAACACGCGAAAGAUCCCUGGUUCGAAACCAGGCAGCGACA